CUGCUAUAUUGGUUGGUCAUAACACUAACUGUUCAGUUCUGCCCCUUUCUUAUGCUAGGCAAGCCUAUGGUAGUAACUUUUCGGGCCUACUCCAAGGAUCAGAUCAUCUUGAUUCUUCAGCAGAGGCUAAUGGCACUUCCUUACACUGUCUUUCAACCACAAGCCUUAGAACUAUGUGCCAGAAAAGUUGCGGCUGCAUCUGGAGAUAUGAGGAAAGCUCUGUGCAUCUGCAGGUUUGUCUUUUACUGCAAUAGUUAUGGUACUUAGUUUGUUGAAUUUAUUCAGGGGGUUCAAAACUAGAUUGGUGCAAACUGUGCUGAGAAAUAAUUAUUCAAAGACAAUUAGAUUGGUGCAAGCUGCAAACUGUGCUUAAGUAAUUAUUCAGGGAGAUGGGCUAUAUGAUUAAAAUAGUAUAAAAAAAAUUAACAUUCAUAGAAUUUUUUGAACUCA